AUUGAACGCUGGCGGCAUGCCUAACACAUGCAAGUCGAGCGGUUGAAGGGAGCUUUCUCCUGCAUUCAGCGUCGGACGGGUGAGUAAUGCCUAUAAAUCUGCCUCGUAGUGGGGGAUAACGUCCGUAAACGGGCGCUAAUACCGCAUACGUCCUGAUGGAGAAAGUGGAGGAUCUUCGGACCUCACGCUAUCAGAUGAGCCUAGGUCGGAUUAGCUAGUUGGUGGGGUAAAGGCCGACCAAGGCGACGAUCAGUAACGGGUCUGAGAGGAUGAUCAGUCACACUGGAACUGAGAACCGGUCAAGACUCCUACGGGAGGCAGCAGUGGGGAAUAUUGGACAAUGGGCGAAAGCCUGAUCCAGCAAUGCCGCGUGUUUGAAGAAGGUCUUCGGAUUGUAAAGCACGUUAAGUUGGGAGGAAGGGCAGUAAGUUAAAAACUUGCUGUUUUGACGUUACCAACAGAAUAAGCACCGGCUAACUUCGUG
rnacentral:rRNA from 1 species